AUUGAACGCUGGCGGCAGGCCUAACACAUGCAAGUCGAGCGGUAGCACAGAGAGCUUGCUCUCGGGUGACGAGCGGCGGACGGGUGAGUAAUGUCUGGGAAACUGCCUGAUGGAGGGGGAUAACUACUGGAAACGGUAGCUAAUACCGCAUAAUGUCGCAAGACCAAAGUGGGGGACCUUCGGGCCUCAUGCCAUCAGAUGUGCCCAGAUGGGAUUAGCUAGUAGGUGGGGUAACGGCUCACCUAGGCGACGAUCCCUAGCUGGUCUGAGAGGAUGACCAGCCACACUGGAACUGAGACACGGUCCAGACUCCUACGGGAGGCAGCAGUGGGGAAUAUUGCACAAUGGGCGCAAGCCUGAUGCAGCCAUGCCGCGUGUGUGAAGAAGGCCUUCGGGUUGUAAAGCACUUUCAGCGGGGAGGAAGGCGAUAAGGUUAAUAACCUCAUCGAUUGACGUUACCCGCAGAAGAAGCACCGGCUAACUCCGUGCCAGCAGCCGCGGUAAUACGGAGGGUGCAAGCGUUAAUCGGAAUUACUGGGCGUAAGGCGCACGCAGGCGGUCUGUCAAGUCGGAUGUGAAAUCCCCGGGCUCAACCUGGGAACUGCAUUCGAAACUGGCAGGCUAGAGUCUUGUAGAGGGGGGUAGAAUUCCAGGUGUAGCGGUGAAAUGCGUAGAGAUCUGGAGGAAUACCGGUGGCGAAGGCGGCCCCCUGGACAAAGACUGACGCUCAGGUGCGAAAGCGUGGGGAGCAAACAGGAUUAGAUACCCUGGUAGUCCACGCCGUAAACGAUGUCGAUUUGGAGGUUGUGCCCUUGAGGCGUGGCUUCCGGAGCUAACGCGUUAAAUCGACCGCCUGGGGAGUACGGCCGCAAGGUUAAAACUCAAAUGAAUUGACGGGGGCCCGCACAAGCGGUGGAGCAUGUGGUUUAAUUCGAUGCAACGCGAAGAACCUUACCUGGUCUUGACAUCCACAGAACUUUCCAGAGAUGGAUUGGUGCCUUCGGGAACUGUGAGACAGGUGCUGCAUGGCUGUCGUCAGCUCGUGUUGUGAAAUGUUGGGUUAAGUCCCGCAACGAGCGCAACCCAUAUCCUUUGUUGCCAGCGGUUAGGCCGGGAACUCAAAGGAGACUGCCAGUGAUAAACUGGAGGAAGGUGGGGAUGACGUCAAGUCAUCAUGGCCCUUACGACCAGGGCUACACACGUGCUACAAUGGCAUAUACAAAGAGAAGCGACCUCGCGAGAGCAAGCGGACCUCAUAAAGUAUGUCGUAGUCCGGAUUGGAGUCUGCAACUCGACUCCAUGAAGUCGGAAUCGCUAGUAAUCGUAGAUCAGAAUGCUACGGUGAAUACGUUCCCGGGCCUUGUACACACCGCCCGUCACACCAUGGGAGUGGGUUGCAAAAGAAGUAGGUAGCUUAACCUUCGGGAGGGCGCUUACCACUUUGUGAUUCAUGACUGGGGUGA
rnacentral:rRNA from 1 species